UAGACUUGGGUUCCUACCACAUUGGAUGGCUCAGAUGUAGAGUACUUCCAUGAGCCCCAAACGUCUUAAUGGACUGUGUUGCUGAUAUGUCACCUGUCAUGCAUCAGGAAGACACCGUUAAACAGUUCUUCCGGGCACAGAAGUGGAUCCCAAAAUCCAUGGAGGAGAGACUUCAUGUGCCAUUCCCACAGUGGGAGGAAUUUAAUAGUCACUCACUCUCUUAAACCACCCACCAGGCAUGAAUUUAUAAUCCUGGAUCGGAUUAUGUGUUAAAACUACCUCCUCCUGAUGACGAACACUCUAGAAUACAGUGGCGGAAUCAGGUGUUGCUUUAAAGAGGAAAGAAAGAGAAGGAGAAGAAAAAUGAGAGGAAAAAAGAAGAAAGAAAACGGCCCUGGGUGACCCUCUCUUCACCUGUUCCUAUGAGCACCUCCUCCUUUGUCCUCAUGCUGUCCUUCAUAUUUAGAAGCUGUACUCUGGAACUUGCCCUUCCCAGGAGUCCUAUAUACCCAUAAGAGUUAUCUGAGGACCUGUGAGCUUCUGGCAUUCUUUCUGACACCAUACCCUCAAGGCCACAAACUUUCCACCCCAUCUAAAUGUAACAAGUUUGACCUGCAUGGCUUUUCUGACUAUGUUUCUCCAGCUCUUUGUGUAAUUUAGGAAAUAGCAUCUUCAGAAAAGUUAUAAAACACUCCUUGAGUAAUUUAGAGGUACUCUUUUGCAAGGCCUGGCCUCACUCUUGUGAGUGUUAUUUUAAAAUACUGCCUCGGAAUUCUUGGUCUUUAAUUUGAAACUUUUGUAGCUGCUUCAGCACUUCCUUCCCAGAAAGAGCCUGUGGCCUUGUUCCAAACAGCACUACAUGUCUUCUUCUAAGUAUCCAGGGUUGUUUUAGUUUCCUACAACUGAGCUGUCACUCUGAACUGCUUUUGGCAAAGCCUGCUUGGAGGAAAACAAGAAUCGGCCUCUGUGGUACCACACACAGGACCAAGGAGCUUGGAAACCACUUGGUGGGGUGGCUGGUGAAAAGUGGCAGGCCUCCCUGGGAUUCCUGGUCCCACCCUACUGGGACACAAAUGACACUGGAAGCCUGUGCCUAUAGUUUCUCAGGGGCCUGGCACAUUGCUCUAUUGUCCCAGUGACUCACAUGAUAAUUUCCCAGGCCUUCAAACUGGGUCAACAGGCUUUGUUUGUCUAGGGAGCUCCACUGGGAGGCCACUCUAAGAAAAGCAGAGCUGAAUGGGGAUGUUUGGCCAGGUGACUCUCUUUGCUGGAUUUUAGCCUGAGGAAAUAUUAUCAGAAUUCAGUCCAGGACCUUUGGAGUAAGUAAGAGCUGCCCAGCAUCUGCGCUGAAUCAACACUCACCAGUGUUAUUGGUUAAGUGUUAACUGUACUGCUAACGGUGGCUUUCCACCAUUACAGAACCUUAGGUCUGCCCACCCUAAAUGAAGAUGUCUAAUUCUUAUAGAUAUAAAAAACAGCAAGCUUCAGCUAUGACUCUAGCCGUAGAAGCUUCUGUUAACUCUGUGAAUGUGACCUGAUCAAUCUUUCUUUAGGAAACAGCAGAGUCAGCCUGAAUCAGUCUUUCUCAAAUUUGAGAAGUCGCAGACCCCAAUAAUUAUAUCUGAAGUCUUAAUGGACCUGAAUUCUUAUAACUUAGAAGGAAAAGUUUCUCAGCAACAUUAUUCAUAAUGGCUGGAAGGUGGGAACAAACCAAAUGUCCAUCAACUUAUGAAUGAAUAAACAAAUGGAUACAAUGAAAAAUAUUCAGCCAUGACAAGGAAUAAAGUGCUGAUAUAGGCCACAACAGAUGAAUCUUGAAAACAUGCUAAAUGAAAGAAGGUAGACAUAAAAGACCACAUAUCGUAUGAGUCUAUUUACAUGAAAUGUCCAGAAUAGGCAAAUCCAAAGAAACAGAAAAUACAUUCAUAAUUGCCAGGGACUAGAGGUAGAUGGAAAUAGGUAAUGACUGAUAACAUGGAUGGGGAUUUUUUGGGGGGAAGGGAGUAAUGAAAAUCUUCUGGAAUUUUAUAGUGAUGGUCAUUGUACAAGCUGUAAAUCUAUGAAAAAUCGGUGAAUUGCACAGUUUAAAAGGAUGGAUUUUACGGAAAAAAGCAAACUGCCACCUCUUGCAGUUAUUCAGAAGAGUUCUGUUCAUCAAACCUUUACUAAGCACCUCUUCUCUAUAUAUUAGAUUGUGAACUAAUGCUGGAAAGCAACCCAUGUGUCCCCUGCCCUCAGGGAGCCCAAAGCCUAGUGGGGGAAACUAUUACACCAAGUGUUAUGGGAAGAAACUUUAUGUUUAAAGGACUUUGACAACUACUGAGUGAUAGAAAAAUAUAUGGUAAUAAUGUAUCAUGAUUAUCCAAUGCGAGGGAAUUGUUGGUCUGAUUCCUAGCUCUGGGUACUUCUCUAAUAAGAAUAUUUUUGUAGAAUGAAGCAGUAAGGCAAGUACUUACUGGAUAUCAUUUACCUGGGUAUUGUUGAACUCACCAUUUCCCAUAAGGACAUUUUCAUGCUAUGCCCACUAGGUGUCUCAUUAUUUUGCAAGAACAUGAGAAGCACAAUGUUUCCACCUUUGUCAGGAGUCAGCUAUAGUAUAAAUAUCCAGUUCACUUGGCUAAAAUCUCAGCCCCAUACCAACAAUCCAUAAAAUGCCCAGA